AUUGACAGCUUUCUUUCUUCCUAACACAUGCAAGUCGAACGGCAGCACAGUAAGAGCUUGCUCUUACGGGUGGCGAGUGGCGGACGGGUGAGGAAUACAUCGGAAUCUACUUUUUCGUGGGGGAUAACGUAGGGAAACUUACGCUAAUACCGCAUACGACCUACGGGUGAAAGCAGGGGAUCUUCGGACCUUGCGCGAUUGAAUGAGCCGAUGUCGGAUUAGCUAGUUGGCGGGGUAAAGGCCCACCAAGGCGACGAUCCGUAGCUGGUCUGAGAGGAUGAUCAGCCACACUGGAACUGAGACACGGUCCAGACUCCUACGGGAGGCAGCAGUGGGGAAUAUUGGACAAUGGGCGCAAGCCUGAUCCAGCCAUACCGCGUGGGUGAAGAAGGCCUUCGGGUUGUAAAGCCCUUUUGUUGGGAAAGAAAAGCAGCAGGUUAAUACCCCGCUGUUCUGACGGUACCCAAAGAAUAAGCACCGGCUAACUUCGUG
rnacentral:rRNA from 1 species